rnacentral:lncRNA from 1 species
AAUGAAAGUUUCCCAGAGGAUUUCAUUCUCAUGGGCUUUGUCAAAUAUCCAUGGCUGGAUUUUCUUCUCUUCUGUGUCCUCUUGACCUUCUACAUGUUCACAUUGUUGGGAAAUAGUGCUAUUAUUCUGGUCUCUCAACUAGAUUCCCAACUUCAUAGUCCUAUGUAUUUCCUUCUCACCAGUCUUUCCGUCUUAUAUCUCUGUUUCACCACCACAACAGUACCUCAAAUGCUGUUCAAUUUAGGGGGCCCAACAAGAACAUCACUUAAAUAGGCUGUAUGGCCCAGGCCUAUGUAUUUCACUGGCUAGCCUGUAUUGAAUGUGUCCUUCUUGGCAUCGUGGCCUUAGACUGCUAUGUGGCUGUCUGUAAGCCUCCAAGGUACACUAUAAUCAUAGACCAUAAGGUCUGCCUGCACCUGUCCAGCACUGCUUGGCUAAUUGGUCUGGCCAAUUCACUGCUGCAGUCAACAAUCACAAUUCAGUUGCCCCUGUAG